CAGCAGCCGCGGUAAUACGUAGGGUGCGAGCGUUAAUCGGAAUUACUGGGCGUAAAGCGUGCGCAGGCGGUUAUAUAAGACAGAUGUGAAAUCCCCGGGCUCAACCUGGGACCUGCAUUUGUGACUGUAUAGCUAGAGUACGGUAGAGGGGGAUGGAAUUCCGCGUGUAGCAGUGAAAUGCGUAGAUAUGCGGAGGAACACCGAUGGCGAAGGCAAUCCCCUGGACCUGUACUGACGCUCAUGCACGAAAGCGUGGGGAGCAAACAGGAUUAGAGACCCGCGUAGUCCCUGUCUCUUAUAA
rnacentral:rRNA from 1 species